rnacentral:rRNA from 1 species
CUGGGAGGACCAUCUCCUAAGGCUAAAUACUCUCUAGUGACCGAUAGUGAACCAGUACCGUGAGGGAAAGGUGAAAAGCACCCCGGAAGGGGAGUGAAAUAGAACCUGAAACCGUGUGCUUACAAGUAGUCAGAGCCCGUUAAUGGGUGAUGGCGUGCCUUUUGUAGAAUGAACCGGCGAGUUACGAUUUGAUGCAAGGUUAAGCAGUAAAUGUGGAGCCGUAGCGAAAGCGAGUCUGAAUAGGGCGUUUAGUAUUUGGUCGUAGACCCGAAACCAGGUGAUCUACCCUUGGUCAGGUUGAAGUUCAGGUAACACUGAAUGGAGGACCGAACCGACUUACGUUGAAAAGUGAGCGGAUGAACUGAGGGUAGCGGAGAAAUUCCAAUCGAACCUGGAGAUAGCUGGUUCUCUCCGAAAUAGCUUUAGGGCUAGCCUCAAGUGAUGAUUAUUGGAGGUAGAGCACUGUUUGGACGAGGGGCCCCUCUCGGGUUACCGAAUUCAGACAAACUCCGAAUGCCAAUUAAUUUAACUUGGGAGUCAGAACAUGGGUGAUAAGGUCCGUGUUCGAAAGGGAAACAGCCCAGACCACCAGCUAAGGUCCCAAAAUAUAUGUUAAGUGGAAAAGGAUGUGGCGUUGCCCAGACAACUAGGAUGUUGGCUUAGAAGCAGCCAUCAUUUAAAGAGUGCGUAAUAGCUCACUAGUCGAGUGACACUGCGCCGAAAAUGUACCGGGGCUAAACAUAUUACCGAAGCUGUGGAUUGUCCUUUGGACAAUGGUAGGAGAGCGUUCUAAGGGCGUUGAAGCAUGAUCGUAAGGACAUGUGGAGCGCUUAGAAGUGAGAAUGCCGGUGUGAGUAGCGAAAGACGGGUGAGAAUCCCGUCCACCGAUUGACUAAGGUUUCCAGAGGAAGGCUCGUCCGCUCUGGGUUAGUCGGGUCCUAAGCUGAGGCCGACAGGCGUAGGCGAUGGAUAACAGGUUGAUAUUCCUGUACCACCUAUAAUCGUUUUAAUCGAUGGGGGGACGCAGUAGGAUAGGCGAAGCGUGCGAUUGGAUUGCACGUCUAAGCAGUAAGGCUGAGUAUUAGGCAAAUCCGGUACUCGUUAAGGCUGAGCUGUGAUGGGGAGAAGACAUUGUGUCUUCGAGUCGUUGAUUUCACACUGCCGAGAAAAGCCUCUAGAUAGAAAAUAGGUGCCCGUACCGCAAACCGACACAGGUAGUCAAGAUGAGAAUUCUAAGGUGAGCGAGCGAACUCUCGUUAAGGAACUCGGCAAAAUGACCCCGUAACUUCGGGAGAAGGGGUGCUCUUUAGGGUUAACGCCCAGAAGAGCCGCAGUGAAUAGGCCCAAGCGACUGUUUAUCAAAAACACAGGUCUCUGCUAAACCGUAAGGUGAUGUAUAGGGGCUGACGCCUGCCCGGUGCUGGAAGGUUAAGAGGAGUGGUUAGCUUCUGCGAAGCUACGAAUCGAAGCCCCAGUAAACGGCGGCCGUAACUAUAACGGUCCUAAGGUAGCGAAAUUCCUUGUCGGGUAAGUUCCGACCCGCACGAAAGGCGUAACGAUUUGGGCACUGUCUCAACGAGAGACUCGGUGAAAUCAUAGUACCUGUGAAGAUGCAGGUUACCCGCGACAGGACGGAAAGACCCCGUGGAGCUUUACUGUAGCCUGAUAUUGAAAUUCGGCACAGCUUGUACAGGAUAGGUAGGAGCCUUUGAAACGUGAGCGCUAGCUUACGUGGAGGCGCUGGUGGGAUACUACCCUAGCUGUGUUGGCUUUCUAACCCGCACCACUUAUCGUGGUGGGAGACAGUGUCAGGCGGGCAGUUUGACUGGGGCGGUCGCCUCCUAAAAGGUAACGGAGGCGCUCAAAGGUUCCCUCAGAAUGGUUGGAAAUCAUUCAUAGAGUGUAAAGGCAUAAGGGAGCUUGACUGCGAGACCUACAAGUCGAGCAGGGUCGAAAGACGGACUUAGUGAUCCGGUGGUUCCGCAUGGAAGGGCCAUCGCUCAACGGAUAAAAGCUACCCCGGGGAUAACAGGCUUAUCUCCCCCAAGAGUUCACAUCGACGGGGAGGUUUGGCACCUCGAUGUCGGC